rnacentral:rRNA from 1 species
CCUACGGGAGGCAGCAGUGGGGAAUAUUGCACAAUGGGCGAAAGCCUGAUGCAGCGACGCCGCGUGAGGGAUGACGGCCUUCGGGUUGUAAACCUCUUUCAGCAGGGAAGAAGCGCAAGUGACGGUACCUGCAGAAGAAGCACCGGCUAACUCCGUGCCAGCAGCCGCGGUAAU